rnacentral:rRNA from 1 species
CGGACGGGUGAGUAACGCGUGAGUAACCUGCCUUCAAGAGGGGGAUAACAUUCUGAAAAGAAUGCUAAUACCGCAUGACAUAUCGGAACCACAUGGUUUUGAUAUCAAAGAUUUUAUCGCUUGAAGAUGGACUCGCGUCCGAUUAGUUAGUUGGUGAGGUAACGGCUCACCAAGACCGCGAUCGGUAGCCGGACUGAGAGGUUGAACGGCCACAUUGGGACUGAGACACGGCCCAGACUCCUACGGGAGGCAGCAUG